rnacentral:rRNA from 1 species
UACGGGGGGGGCAAGCGUUGUUCGGAAUUACUGGGCGUAAAGGGCUCGUAGGCGGCCAACUAAGUCGGAUGUGAAAUCCCCAGGCUUAACCUGGGAACUGCAUCCGAUACUGGUCGGCUUGAAUCCGGGAGAGGGAUGCAGAAUUCCAGGUGUAGCGGUGAAAUGCGUAGAUAUCUGGAGGAAUACCGGUGGCGAAGGCGGCAUCCUGGACCGGCAUUGACGCUGAAAAGCGAAAGCUAGGGGAGAAAACGGG